CGCGUAGGUGGUUUUGUAAGUCGGAUGUGAAAGCCCCGGGCUCAACCUGGGAAUUGCAUUCGAUACUGCAUGACUAGAGUAUGGUAGAGGGAAGUGGAAUUCCGGGUGUAGCGGUGAAAUGCGUAGAUAUCCGGAGGAACAUCAGUGGCGAAGGCGACUUCCUGGACCAAUACUGACACUGAGGUGCGAAAGCGUGGGGAGCAAACA
rnacentral:rRNA from 1 species